GCAGCUAGAAAAUAGUAUCCAUCCCAUGUGAAAAAAUGACUUUGACGUGUACCCCAACUCAACGGAGACUUCUCAGCAGCAUACGACUUUCAGCCAUGAACCACUAGGAAAAUGCUACCUAAUCCACUGGCACCAUGUUAUGGUAAGAAGAGCUGAGCAGAUCGAUAUACAUCAUAAAGACAAAGAGUGCCCAUUUAAUGGUUGUGGUGAUACCAAACUUCCUUCUGUUAAGCAACUGGAAAUGGCCCAGGCAAAGGAUGGUGCACAAGGAAACUGUACAGCACAGGACCAAAAAGAUUUAACAAUUUGUCUGCUGCAUUAACAUGGAGAAAACAGGAAACAAGUUCUUCUUUCUGGGAGAGGAGCUGUAACAUGGUCUCCUCCUUCUGUCAUCCCCUCUCACAGCAUAUAAGUACUAG